rnacentral:rRNA from 1 species
AUUGAACGCUGGCGGCAGGCUUAACACAUGCAAGUCGAGCGAGCGGCGGACGGGUGAGUAAUGUCUGGGAAACUGCCUGAUGGGGGGGGAUAACUACGGAAAACGGUGGCUAAUACCGCAUACCAUCGAAGUUUCCCAGAUGGGAUUAGCUAGUGGGGUGGGUAAUGGCUCACCUAGGCGACGAUCCCUAGCUGGUCUGAGAGGAUGACCAGCCAAACUGGAACUGAGACACGGUCCAGACUCCUACGGGAGGCAGCAGUGGGGAAUAUUGCACAAUGGGCGCAAGCCUGAUGCAGCCAUGCCGCGUGUGUGAAGAAGGCCUUCGGGUUGUAAAGCACUUUCAGCGAGGAGGCGUUACUCGCAGAAGAAGCACCGGCUAACUCCGUGCCAGCAGCCGCGGUAAUUC